AUUUAGAUUUCUCAAGAUCAUCGUUUUGUUGACCAUCUGGGAAGAAUUCAUCUGUGCCAUUGGCAAGCUGGUGAUCAGGACUUGAAAAGUAAUAUAAAAAGAUGGCUUCCACUUGCAUCUGACAAGAGAGGGCCCGAAACAAGCAAAAUCUUUAUAAGACCUGUCAGAGUCUUCUGCCCCGGGUUCCCCCACAAACCGGAGCCUGCCACACAAAGCCAGGCAUCCUCUGUCACGGAAUUGCGUGGAGAAGAACCCAAUUGCAGGCAGGUGGGAGUGAAGGGGUUAACAAAUGACUUUAUUCACAAAAACGUAAAACAAAAACCCACGGUGGGGAAAACAAGACACGAUAACAGGGGAAAUGAUAUAACAGGUAAACAGGAACAUAAACUGACUAAACUAAACUAACAAAGACUAAGCACAACACUAGACCAAAUACAAUAAACUAACACUAACUAGACUUACUGAAAGAACAAAUACAGGAACACGAGCAUUGACCACGAACUGGACAGCACAAGGCAUACAGCACACACACAUGCAAUACACGAGCACAGGACAAAGAAACAUGAGGGCAUUUAUAGGGAAGACAAACGAGGGAUAACGACACGGGGCAGGUGUGGGUAAUCAAACACUCAGGGAAAGAUAACAAGGAAACGAGAGAAGCGGGGCCAAUGACAAGACACUGGAGAGAACGUAUAUUAUUGUCAAAAGGACAAUACUAUGUUUCUCUCCACACAUAACCAAAGGCUUUGCCAUGACUCUGCUACAGGACCAAGAAAAAGAUGACUAAAUGAAGCAGAGCCAUGACAGAAGCCCCCCCUUUAAUGAGCACCUCCAGGUGAUCACCAAGGGGUAGACGGACGAGACAAAACCGACUGGGUGACAGACAGGACAAGGCAAAACAGAGAAAACAAAAUCAAGGGCAGACAUGACAACAUAAUAACAGGACU